rnacentral:rRNA from 1 species
UACGAAGGGAGCUAGCGUUACUCGGAAUCACUGGGCGUAAAGCGCAUGUAGGCGGAACUACAAGUCAGGGGUGAAAUCCCAAGGCUCAACCUUGGAAUUGCCUUUGAAACUGUAGUACUUGAGUAUGGUAGAGGAUAGUGGAAUUUCCAGUGUAGAGGUGAAAUUCGUAGAUAUUGGAAAGAACACCAGUGGCGAAGGCGGCUAUCUGGACCAUUACUGACGCUGAGAUGCGAAAGCGUGGGGAGCAAACAGG